rnacentral:rRNA from 1 species
UACGUAGGGGGGCAAGCGUUUGUCCCGGGAAUCAUUGGGGCGUAAAGCGCGUGUAGGCGCUAGGUAAGUCUGCUCUGAAAGCCCGGGGCUCAACCCCGGGAGGCGGGUGGAUACUGUCUAGCUCGAGUCCGGAAGAGGAGUGUGGAAUUCCUGGUGUAGCGGUGAAAUGCGCAGAUAUCAGGAGGAACACCAAUUGCGAGGCAGCUCGCUGGGACGUUACUGAGCUGAUGCGCGA